CAAACUGACAUUUACACCCUGGUGAAGAAGAGCUCAGCUGAGCCUCAUGACAGUUUAAUGAGUGUAGAAUACAGGGCCUGUUUCAUACUGGAUCCCCUGACUCUGAUGGGCAUGUUCAGUGGUGUAGUCUAGGAUAGUGGGAAUACUGGGGAUACAGUCAGUGUAAAGUUGGCCUGAUGGCUGGAGGUACAAUGGAGCAUCGGAGAUACCGGAAAACCUCUGAUCGUGAAAUGUGACACCGUCUCCAUGGAAACAAAACAACUGAACUUCCAUUUAUGGACAAGGAAGUGAACGUUGUGACGUACUGCAAUGCACGUUCCGUGCCCUACAUUCAAAUUCCCUUUACCGUGUGAAUAGUGGAACGAAACCCAUUCCCAUGGGUUCCUAUGAUCUUGUUGCUCCCUCUAAUUAAAAAGAUCCUAUUAAAUCCUUGGAGUACGUUAGUUUAUAAAUAGAAAGGGAAUUUGUAUAUAGUGCAACAUCAUCAGUGUUAUUACUGGAGACAAAUUGGUCAACAAACAAUAUAAUUCAUAUAUUUUUUAUUAGUAAUUUUUUGUGUUCUAUGUUUUGCAUCUGAACAACAAGUCUCAACUUUGGAGGUAAAAAAAUAAACUAUGUCGUAGAAUACAUCUU